rnacentral:rRNA from 1 species
AUGAACGCUGGCGGCGUGCCUAAUACAUGCAAGUCGAGCGUACAGACGAGGAGCUUGCUCCUCUGACGUUAGCGGCGGACGGGUGAGUAACACGUGGAUAACCUACCUAUAAGACUGGGAUAACUUCGGGAAACCGGAGCUAAUACCGGAUAAUAUAUUGAACCGCAUGGUUCAAUAGUGAAAGACGGUUUUGCUGUCACUUAUAGAUGGAUCCGCGCCGCAUUAGCUAGUUGGUAAGGUAACGGCUUACCAAGGCAACGAUGCGUAGCCGACCUGAGAGGGUGAUCGGCCACACUGGAACCGAGACACGGUCCAGACUCCUACGGGAGGCAGCAGUAGGGAAUCUUCCGCAAUGGGCGAAAGCCUGACGGAGCAACGCCGCGUGAGUGAUGAAGGUCUUCGGAUCGUAAAACUCUGUUAUUAGGGAAGAACAAAUGUGUAAGUAACUAUGCACGUCUUGACGGUACCUAAUCAGAAAGCCACGGCUAACUACGUG